GAUGAUAUGAUAAAACCAAAUAGAACAUAGCGUCCCGUCCUUCAGCUAUAGCUUCCUUAGAGUUCGCAUCUUAUGGGCGAAAAUUACUUUAAGAAUAUGAGCAAGAACACCUUUUAUUCAGCAAAACAAUAAAUACACAUCUUUCCCCUGCCUCUAUCCGAUACAUAAGGAAAUCCGCCAGAGUUGUUGUCUCCUUUAUUGACGCUUACAAAUACUCGCAAAACAACGAAUACUGGCACAAAUAAAAAGGGGAGAAAUUUUUGUGACAUGGACAUCGAACUCGAUAUGAUUUACCGUCAUUAGAGGAUUAGCUGGAUCUACAAGUUUGUUGGUAACGUUAUGCUCCAUGUUUUUCCAUCAUGAGCUCUUCCAUUUUCCUGAAGCUUUUCUCUAGACCUUCCAGCCUUUGGUUCAUCGUCGCGAUCCAAUACGGCAUGGCAUCGCUGGGGUAGGGACUUACAGUGCCACCGCGGAUCGGAAUAGGAUAUGCCGUGGGCUCAGGUGGCCUUAUUUUGCAUAGAGUCUCUAGAUGCUUGACAUAGUUAUCCACCACGUCGUCUAACUUCUCGCGCAGCACGGUAUUCUU
rnacentral:lncRNA from 1 species